UACAUGCAGUCUCGUGAAACAGCCCCUCGCAUAUUCUGUUGCUGGUGGGUUACACAAGGCUGCAUAAAUUGAAACAAGGAAUGAAAAGGCAUGACUUCUGGAGGCUCAGGAGUUCCAUGUGCGAUGUUCCUUGGACAGGCUGACCCCUGCUUCCCACGGUGGUGAUGGCUCCACAUGUAGCCACGACCUUUCUUGAGGCAGGCAGAGUGAUACAAGACAACAGCUGGAUAUUGUCUACCAGGGUGAGCUCUUCCUGUCAGACACAGUGCGCUGUCACAAUC
rnacentral:snoRNA from 1 species